rnacentral:rRNA from 1 species
GGGCCCGCACAAGCGGUGGAGCAUGUGGCUUAAUUCGAGGCAACGCGAAGAACCUUACCUGGUCUUGACAUGCCCGUCAUAGUUUUCCGAAAGGAAUUCGUCAGUUCGGCUGGACGGUGCACAGGUGCUGCAUGGCUGUCGUCAGCUCGUGUCGUGAGAUGUUCGGUUAAGUCCGGCAACGAGCGCAACCCUCGUUUCCAGUUGCCAGCGGGUAAUGCCGGGGACUCUGGAAAGACAAACCUCUUGUUGAGGUGGGAAGGUGGGGACGACGUCAAGUCAGUAUGGCCCUUACGACCAGGGCUGCACACGUGCUACAAUGCCCGGCACAAUGGGAUGCAAUAUCGCGAGAUUGAGCAAAUCCACAAAACCGGGCCCAGUUCGGAUUGGAGUCUGCAACUCGACUCCAUGAAGUUGGAAUCGCUAG